CCAAGACCAACCCCUCCAAAUCUGACCACACGCCCCCCCUCUUCCCCUCAUUUUUUUGUUUCAUUUCAUUAUACUAUACAUAAACAAAACCCUAAUCCUCUCAAAACCUAUACCUAGCCGCCACCCUCACGCUACUUUUCUUCUUCUCCGACCAAAUGACACCCUCAUGCCGGAGACAACCACCCCCACAAAGAAUCAGGUAUCAAGUAUGACCAUGUCCGUGCUCUGUUCCUAUGGCUUUUGAAUUCCUUAGAAUUGAAAAACCUAAGUCUUCAUUUUUUUUCAGCCAUCAACACACCCAAAAGGACCACUACCACACGCCCCGCUUCUUCCCCUCAUUUUUUUGUUUCAUUUCAUUAUACUAUACAUACACAAAACCCUAAUCCUCUCAAAACCUAUACCUAGCCGCCACCCUCACGCUACUCUUCUUCUUCUCCGACCAAAUGACACCCUCAUGCCGGAGACAACCACCCCCAAAAAGAAUCAGGUAUCAAGUAUGACCAUGUCCGUGCUCUGUUCCUAUGGCUUUUGAAUUCCUUAGAAUUGAAAAACCUAAGUCUUCAUUUUUUUUCAGCCAUCAACACACCCAAAAGGACCACCCUAAAUCGCUAGAAUCUAGAGCAAAAUGCAACGACCACUCCACCCCUUCAAAACUCAUAAAUAACCCUAACCCUUAACCCCCGAUUUCCUAAUUCACUGCCGCCGAUCUCAUUCGAGAAAGCUCAAGAGGAGGUCGCUAAGGUUUCUGCUUUUGUUUUGGUUUCGAGAUCUCACUAGAGACGUCAACUUUGAGUUUGCUGCUUGCGGUACUGUCCGAAGCACCGUCGAGUGAUUCCGUUGAGGUUCUAUUUGAGAUCGUUAAUCUCUAUUCCCGG
rnacentral:lncRNA from 1 species